rnacentral:rRNA from 1 species
ACGAGGGAUCCUAGCGUUGCUCGGAAUCAUUGGGCGUAAAGCGGGUGUAGGUGGCUUGGUAAGUCAGAUGUGAAAGCCUGGGGCUUAACCCCAGAAGUGCAUUUGAAACUGCUGAGCUUGAGUGCUAGAGAGGUUAAUAGAAUACCUGGUGUAGUGGUGAAAUACGUAGAUAUCUGGUGGAACACCGGAGGCGAAGGCGGUUAACUGGCUAGACACUGACACUGAGACCCGAAAGUGCGGGGAUCAAACAGGA